rnacentral:rRNA from 1 species
UACGAAGGGGGCUAGCGUUGUUCGGAAUUACUGGGCGUAAAGCGCACGUAGGCGGACUAUUAAGUCAGGGGUGAAAUCCCGGGGCUCAACCCCGGAACUGCCUUUGAUACUGGUAGUCUCGAGUCCGGAAGAGGUGAGUGGAAUUCCGAGUGUAGAGGUGAAAUUCGUAGAUAUUGGGAGGAACACCAGUGGCGAAGGCGGCGAUCUGGGAAGAUACUGACGCUGAGGUGCGAAAGCGUGGGGAGCAAACAGG